CCUACGGGGGGCUGCAGUAGGGAAUCUUCCGCAAUGGACGAAAGUCUGACGGAGCAACGCCGCGUGAGCGAAGAAGGCCUUCGGGUCGUAAAGCUCUGUUGUCAGGGAAGAACAAGUGUCGGAGUAACUGCCGGUACCUUGACGGUACCUGACGAGAAAGCCACGGCUAACUACGUGCCAGCAGCCGCGGUAAUACGUAGGGGGUGAGCGUUAUCCGGAAUCACUGGGCGUAAAGGGUGCGUAGGCGGCCGAUAAAGUCUGGGGUGAAAGGCUACGGCUCAACCGUAGUAAGCCUUGGAAACUUAUUGGCUUGAGUGCAGGAGAGGAGAGCGGAAUUCCUGGUGUAGCGGUGAAAUGCGUAGAUAUCAGGAGGAACACCAGUGGCGAAGGCGGCUCUCUGGACUGUAACUGACGCUGAGGCACGAAAGCGUGGGGAGCAAACAGGAUUAGAUACCCCUGUAGUC
rnacentral:rRNA from 1 species